rnacentral:rRNA from 1 species
CCUCGGGGGGCAGCAGUGAGGAAUAUUGGUCAAUGGCCGAGAGGCUGAACCAGCCAAGUCGCGUGAGGGAAGACGGCCCUACGGGUUGUAAACCUCUUUUGUCGGGGAGCAAAGCGAGUCACGUGUGACUCAUUGAGAGUACCCGAAGAAAAAGCAUCGGCGGGCGCCGUGCCAGCAGCGGGGGGAAUACGGGGGAUGGGGGCGGUAUGGGGGGUUGGGGGGGUGGGGGGGUGGGCGGGGGGGGGGGGAGGGCGGCGGUCAAAUUGCGGGGCUCAACCCCGUACUGCCGUUGAAACUGCAUCCCUUGAGUGCGCGAGAAGUAUGCGGAAUGCGUGGUGUAGCGGUGAAAUGCAUAGAUAUCACGCAGAACUCCGAUUGCGAAGGCAGCAUACCGGCGCGCAACUGACGCUCAUGCACGAAAGCGUGGGUAUCGAACAGGAUUAGAUACCCGGGUAGUC